GAUGAACGCUGGCGGCGUGCCUAAUACAUGCAAGUCGAGCGAACAGACGAGGAGCUUGCUCCUCUGACGUUAGCGGCGGACGGGUGAGUAACACGUGGAUAACCUACCUAUAAGACUGGGAUAACUUCGGGAAACCGGAGCUAAUACCGGAUAAUAUAUUGAACCGCAUGGUUCAAUAGUGAAAGACGGUUUUGCUGUCACUUAUAGAUGGAUCCGCGCCGCAUUAGCUAGUUGGUAAGGUAACGGCUUACCAAGGCAACGAUGCGUAGCCGACCUGAGAGGGUGAUCGGCCACACUGGAACUGGGACACGGUCAAGACUACUACGGGAGGCAGCAGUAGGGAAUCUUCCGCAAUGGGCGAAAGCAUGACGGAGCAACGCCGCGUGAGUGAUGAAGGUCUUCGGAUCGUAAAACUCUGUUAUUAGGGAAGAACAAAUGUGUAAGUAACUAUGCACGUCUUGACGGUACCUAAUCAGAAAGCCACGGCUAACUACGUG
rnacentral:rRNA from 1 species